UGAGAACUAAUCUGAGCCAUUUAUUUGAAUCAAUCUGUCAGGGGUAGGUUGGUCAGUGGUAGUCUUAGGAUGCGUGUGAGAGUGAGAUGUUAGUGUGCAGGUGAGAUUACACCGCUGGUUUUUCGUUGCCUUUGUUCCGCUCGAGUACUGCACCGGAGCUCCCGCCCUUCGUAUUUUCGCUAUCCUAGGAGUCUACCGUGUGUCGUCUUCGUCGAUUGAGUUGCCUUCUGCGAUGGCUGGCUCUGAUGCUCGGAACCCUAAGCGCCCACAACCGACCACCACGUCCGCCGCUGCCCCAGAAAGAUUUGUUGUUUGUGUUCCUUGAUGAUGAGGUUGAUUUGCGGUAUGGGGCUGUUGUACGGAGGAUUAUCUUGAGAAGGAUGCAGAUGCGCUGACGUGAUGCACGUAACAAAGUGGAUUGUGGAGUCUUCGCAAUGCGGCAUAUGGAGUCCUUUUUGGGCCAAUCGGUGAAUGCAUGGGAUUGUGGUCUACAGAAGGGUGAUACUAUGGGUCUUGAUUUGUUGAGGAGGUCUUAUAUGUGUCAGAUUUUGACGAAUGAGAUUAAUGCUCACCAUUCUAAGAAUAUUCACAGUGUAGUCGAAUACCACGAUGCCAUUAAACAAAGAUAGUUUUAGCUUUAUGUUUAUUAGCUAGUUGAUUAGUUGUUUAGUUUAGUUCACAUGGUUAUGUUUGGUGAAUAUGUUCUUUCUUACCGUAACUUAUUUUAAUUUAUACUGUUUUAAUGAGUUUGGUUUUCCUUUA